UCUUUAUAGCCUCAUGCCUAGCUUCUCUCUCGAAUACUCUAAACCCACCCCUUCGCCAAGGCCAGGAGUCUCUCUCUCUCUCUCUCUGCUUUUCUGACUGCAUAUCUUCAAGUUGUUACUGCUGCUCUUCCGUUCUCUUUGCCACUCCUUUCUACCACAUCUCUUUCCACAAGAGGCCCUUAAGAUUUGGUGGAUGGAGAGCAUAAAUCCCCAUCAACUCCUCUUUCCAAGCUCUACUCCUCACUCGGAAGUCUUCUGCUCCAGUCUCACUGCAAUGAACAAUCUCAACAACGAUAUGGACGUUGCUGUGACAAACUUUGUGGGAAUCGGGAUCGACGGUAGCAGGAUGUUCGGCUUCCCCGGGGAUUUCAUAUUUAGGAGCAGACGUUUUUCGCCAGAACCAACCGUUCCUUGUUCUUGAUGCCUUAACGGUGCUAUCCUACCUGAGCUUUUCCCUUCGACCUCCACUACAGCCCUUAUCCUUCUUCACACACCUGUCACCUCUUCUCCUUUCGCAGUCUUGCAGGUUCAUGUCUUCUUGACCUUGUAAGGCCUUUUCUUGACCUUGUAAGACCCCAUCCUCCUUUGGUCCUCUUCGUCUCCUUCUCUACCACGGGCUUCCUCCUUGUGCUCAUCGACCAAGUCCUUUAUCGCCAAUUCCCUCCCUUCUCGCCCACCUCUUACUCUCCUUCCCCGUCUAUCCCUUCUGAGCUAUUUACACGGAAGUGCAUGGAUGCGUCUUCUCUUAAUUUAGUAUUUGUUUGCAUAGGACUCUCCUAAAGAUUUCAAGCUCCCCUCUAAGAGCAAUCUUUUGGUGGCCUUUCAUUUCUAUUCUAUUUAAGUUUAAAUCUUGGUUUCUUGUCAGUCUUUUCUUUGUUUUUUUCUGUAAUAUUAUGUAUGCAGGGGAAAUAUGCCUGUCUGCAGCAUCCGUUCCUUUUGUUUUACAUGUUAAUGGGUUUGAUGGGUGAUCAAUGGACGGUAAAAUAUUCUUAUCGUGACCAGUCGAGGCUGUAACGACGUAUGAAGCGUUUUGGAUUUAUUUAAGCCUUUUUGUUUGGUAGUUUGCUA